rnacentral:ncRNA from 1 species
ACUGUGGAGUAUUAUAUCAAACUAGAGUAGAUUACUAUUUAUAGUUUUCAAAAUGGGAUACGCUGAAACAGUAA